CACUAUCUUUCCUGCGCUGUGAUUGGCGAUGCCUAUAUUAGGCGAAGACCCAAUCCCAUAUAAAGGCAGGAUAGACUAUUCACAUGCAGUUUGACGGACUCCUCCCCACAGCCGGUUCGUCGACGCCAUGGCUACGGAAACACAGAAGAUCCACAGAAAGACCGCCAGCAGGUUUUCGGGGUGUAGAAGAGAGACCGAGUAUUUACCUCGUUUGCGUUUACAGGGAGUACAGAUUUCGAAGAUUGCCCUUUUAGUGUCAUGAAGAUUUCGUAUUUUAUUUUGCUUUGUGAAACUGCGAGAAGUUGUUGCUGCGUAGGGACGAAUGUGAGUUGUCUGCGUUUUGCACGUGUAUCGCUCUUUGUCAUGCUGAGGUCCGUUCUUCUCGCAGACACUGGCGUGCCGGGCAUUGUGUAUGGGUUAUGGAAGAAAGCAUGUCUCACUGCGAGAAUAGACGCUUAUUUUGGGCGUUUGUUAGACAUCACAGGUAUAUGCAGUACUGUCUGAAAGGACGUCGACGGAGAAGGCAAGUCACACCGCCGGCACGGCCGACCCCAGCAUGACUGACGCAGCAGCCUUGUGAAUGAGCCGGAUGUUCCAUAGCAGAGCACCAGUAACACUGUUUUUGACAGUGAGACUCACCAGGACAAGUCUGCGAUAUCUACGACCUUCUGGGAACGGGUAGGGAAACUUGCCGACAACAGAGAAGAUAGAGUAGUUUCCUACGGGCGUAGGAUUUACAAGCCAAGCAGGAGCCUUUAUGAAGCGGUGCAACGUUGUUCCAGUUUCCACACGCUCGGAGCAGAGCCCGACCUUUUUUAUCAAGAAAGAGUCGGAGGCUUCAACUUAUCACUGGUAGCUCUAUGGUUAGGUUCGGCGAUUCUGGGCAUUGCAUUUUGUGGACCAGCCAGCAUUCAGCAACCCGAAAAGCUGAGGGACCAGGCCUCAAGACGCUCAGACAGCUGUCAACCACUGCGGCAGUUUUCCUAAGGUGUGUCCUAUAUCUCAGCUAGAGGUUGUUAUCUUGUUGCUCGUCAGGUCGGCAGACAACCUCGAGUUUGUAGCGAGAUUUCAGGUGAUUUGAUUUUUGUUUAUGAGCCGAUUUGCUUUUUGUUGGGUUUCUCGCUUGACAGGUUCUUGGACAACCCUAGGUAGAAAAAAAA